rnacentral:misc_RNA from 1 species
CAAAUUUACAAUCUUUUACACAGCCAAAGGCGUAGAACCAAAGCAGAGCUCAAAAAUGGCGGAGGGGCUUGUUCUGCGAGGCACAAUGAGGGCUCACACCGACAUGGUGACGGCCAUCGCCACUCCCAUCGACAAUUCCGAUAUGAUUGUCACCUCUUCCCGUGACAAAUCCAUCAUCUUGUGGCGUCUCACCAAGGAAGAGAAGACCUACGGCGUCCCUCAACGAAGGCUCAAUGGUCACUCCCACUUUGUUCAAGAUGUUGUCCUCUCAUCCGACGGUCAGUUCGCCCUAUCUGGCUCCUGGGACGGCGAGCUCCGCCUCUGGGACCUUGCUACCGGCGUUACAUCACGUCGAUUCGUUGGACAUUCGAAAGAUGUUCUCUCUGUCGCCUUCUCCAUCGACAAUCGUCAGAUCGUCUCGGCCUCUCGUGACCGAACGAUCAAGCUAUGGAACACUCUCGGUGAGUGCAAGUACACAAUCCAGGACGGUGAUGCUCACUCUGACUGGGUUAGUUGUGUUAGAUUUAGCCCUAACACGCUCCAGCCAACUAUUGUUUCGGCGUCAUGGGACAAGACCGUGAAGGUCUGGAACUUGACCAAUUGCAAGUUGAGAGUUACUCUCGCUGGUCACGCUGGUUAUGUCAACACAGUGGCUGUUUCGCCGG